AUGGUAGAAUAUUCAAACUCAAACAUUUUUGCUGUUGGGAAGAAGAUACCAACUGAUUCUGAUCAGUGUGUACAUUGGAAUAACCUCUAUAAAAAGCUAGUGUACAAGCUUAUAGUCACCUUAGUCGAUCAAGUAGCUCAUUACAACUGUUCCAAGCCUCAAAAACAGGUACCAUUUUCUUUCGUGGAAGCAGUAAGCAAGCAAACCCGCGCGUCCAGGUCUGGAGGCCAAGCCUGCACUUGCUGCAAUCAUAUUUGGAAUGAAUCUACCAUAGCCUUCAGAAUCUUUUCCGACGACUGCCACUGCUUGUCGCUGGCGCUCGCGACGAAGAGCACCACCGUGCUCCCCUUGGCCGUGGCCUUGGCCAGAUUGUGA
rnacentral:rRNA from 1 species